UUGAACAGGAAGUGAAAAUGCAAAAGAAACUAACUCAAAACUACACUUAAGAGCUGGAAACCAUCAAGAAUUUUAACAACAAAUUUCUAAAUGUACUCGAUAAUCAAAUCUACACAGAGUAAUGGCAUUUAGAGCUUGCAGGAAUGAAGUGAUAAUUGUUUUGCGGGGCAACUGUACCAUUCUUGCUUCUCUAAUUAGCUGAAUUAUCAAAUGGGGAGCAGCUCCUGUGCACUUAUUAUUUAGCUGUAUUAUUACAACCAAUUAGAUUUACUUCUCUCUUUUUCCAUUCCCCAUUCUGGCUCUCCUCACCUCACCUGCCCAUUGCCGCUCUCUGGUGCCCCUCCUCCCAUGGUCCAUUCUCAUCCCCUAACCAAUUCCUUCUUUUUCAGCCCUUUACUUUUAUCCACCUACCACCUCCCCACUUCUCACUUCAUUACCCCUCACCCCUCACCUGGUCUCACCGAUCACUUGUAGCAUGUACACCUUCUCCACCUCCUACUUUCUUAUUCUAACUUCUUCCCCUUCUUCCCCAGUUCUGAUGAAGGGAUUUGGCCUGAAACAUCAACUGUUUAUUACUCUCCAUAAAGGCUGCCUGACCUGCUGAAUUCCUCCAGCAUCUGCAGAAUCUCCUGAAUUUAAGAUUUACUUCUGAAAUUGGGACAAUUUCCUGAUGUCCUCCUCCAAGAAAACGGUUACAAAUUGAAUUUUCAUAAGUUUUACGGAAGUCUGCGCUCCUCAUGGAUGAAGCUCAUUGGCCAAUGCAUGCAUAGAACUGGAAAGGAAGUAGUUCAUGCCAACAGAGUAAGACCAGCCAACGUACUAAAAUAAAACUGUCGGGUUGAGUCAAUUCCCGAUUGGUGAAGUGGGAUAAAAAAGUAGUCUCAACAGAUUUAAUCAGGUUUAUUAUGUAUGCAAUCUUUUCCGUUGAUCACAUCUUAUGCUGAAAGAAAUUUAUCUCAUUGACCAAAAUUAUAAUUUCAAAAAUGACUUUGAAUUGCGAAAUCUACAUCUGGACCUAAAAAGAACAUCCUCCAAAUGACAAAAAGCUGCAAACUGUGGGGGACCAAAACAACUUGAGGCACAGGUAUUCCCACUGAUUCACUUCAUGGCUCAAUCACACAACACGGAUCAUCUUUCUAUCACAGUGCAUGAAGACGAUGUGGAAAGUUCCAUGUUUGUUGUUCGGGUAACUUGUUGCAAUCACAUGCUGCUACAAUAUUGGUUAGAAAAAUCGUAUUUUGAUAAUACUCAAAUCAAACAAAUCCAAGCUAAGCUUUCAACCACAAAUGACAGUAUCCAAUUUGUACUGAAAGUUGUGUGUCGGUCAUCUUCAUUGCAAAACUGCGACUACUGGACGCCCUUUGUAAUUGGACUCAUGUUGGAUGCAACGUCAGGAGGCUAUCAGCUGCCUUCCAGAACCACGUGGAAUGGGGACGUUAGGCAGCUACUGAAAGACAAGGCCAUUCUAUUGACCAAGUAGCAUUUCUUGUAUUAUGCAAGGAAAUCAACUGCUCAUCUCUGUUGUACUCCAAAAAUAUUUCUUGUGGAUAUUUACCAGGCCUGAUUACAAAGGUACUACAUGGAAAAUUAUUUAAAUCAAAGAUCAACAGAACAUUUUGGGAAUGGGGUGGAGGAGUUGAUGGAGAAAAUGUCUCGAACUCCGACCCGCCCUCAUCAACAUCUUCUCACAAUUGUAACCUUAGUCUGUUUCACACUUGGAUGCGCCCAACACUAAACAAGAGGGAGUUCUAAGAACUUCUCUGAUUACUGAUUAUAUAUGGUACUUACUUAAAGUUACCUGAGAGGCUGCAAAAUAUUAGCUACAUUAAGCAUCUCUUCUUUCACUAUUGAUAUAUUUAAUCUGCAGUAUACACUCAGUGGUCACUAUUUAUGCACACCUUAACACCUGCUUAUUAAUGUAAAUAUCUAAUCAGCCAAUUGAAUGCUGUGAUGACUAUUCGCUUGGUUUUUUGCAAAGCUCGCUUUCUAAACACAGCAGCUGCCACUUGCCAAGGCCAAACAAUUGUUUAGUUUCUGGUCGUAAACGGGAGUCAGUCUUUAGUUCUAACUAUGUAAAUAGCAAUCAUUAAUCAACUUGAAGUUAUAAGCACAGCUUUGCAAACAAUGUCUGUUUAUAGCACAGACUUGCUGGUUCCUAGCAUCCUGUCUUGCUGCUCAAAGAGGUGCAUUAUAAGACACUGGGUUUUUAAAAUUUGGCUUGUAUCACAACAGACAAGUUAACAGGGAUUCUUACAUAUGGAUAAUAUCAUUUAUAGUAUCAAAUGACUAUGUGUUUAUAGUUGAGAGUUAUAUGUACUCAGAGGUUAGUUUCUAGCAAAUGUUGUAAAGUUAUGUCUCCAACAAACUUUUAGACUGCUUGUUUAAAAAAGGGUAUCUGCAGAAAUAUCAUACAUGUUUGAAGUCACCUAAGUGCCAGAAUAAGUUCCCCUGGCUUCGGUUUGUGUGACGGAUGAUUCGUUCAUCUGCAGUCUUUUCAGUUUAUAGAAAUUAUACUUGUGUUUUGGCAUCCUUUAUGCUUUUGAAAUGCUUUGUGAUUUAGAAAUGGUUUGUAAUUUGGAAAUGUGUAAAAUAGAAACCCUCUGAGUUUUAAAUGUAUUUUGAGAAUGUUGUUUGGACUUAAACGUGUUUUGAGAAUGUUGUUUGGACUUGAACGUGUUUUGAGAAUGUUGUUUGGACUUGAACGUGUUUUGAGAAUGUUGUUUGGAUAUAA